GAAUUUAGGUUAAUAUAAACUAUUGAUCUUCAAAAUCAAAAAUGAACUUUAUUCAAUUCUU
rnacentral:tRNA from 1 species